CGGGAAUUUUGGGCAAUGGGCGAAAGCCUGACCCAGCAACGCCGCGUGAGGGAUGAAGUAUUUCGGUAUGUAAACCUCGAAAGAAUGGGAAGAAUAAAUGACGGUACCAUUUAUAAGCUCCGGCUAACUACGUGCCAGCAGCCGCGGUAAUACGUAGGGAGCAAGCGUUGUUCGGAUUUACUGGGCGUAAAGGGCGCGUAGGCGGCGCGGUAAGUCACUUGUGAAAUCUCUGAGCUUAACUCAGAACGGCCAAGUGAUACUGAUGUGCUAGAGUGCGGAAGAGGCAACCGGAAUUCUUGGUGUAGCGGUGAAAUGCGUAGAUAUCAAGAGGAACACCUGAGGCGAAGGCGGGUUGCUGAGCCGACACUGACGCUGAUGCGCGAAAGCCAGGGGAGCAAACG
rnacentral:rRNA from 1 species